rnacentral:rRNA from 1 species
CGGGAGAGUCCUGAAUUCGAAAGGGGCCGGAUUCAAGUCGAUCCGCGUGUGCAGGAUGCAUGCCCACCAGAUGGCGUUGGGCGACCCGCAUAACACAAUCGUGUGUGCGGUGUCGUUUGCGGCGUUCGCUGAGUGAGAGCAGCAUUGGCCUGGCACCGGACGGCCGCACUUCCACCCUAGUAGAAGCGUCGCGACCCGUUGGGUGCCGGUCUAAGGCCCGGGAAGGCAGAACCAUGUCUUGAGGGGAGGGUGCCUCAGACAUGCGGACUCCUGGUGACCUGGCCGGCUGCCCGACGGUCUAUGCAUAUUGGAGGCGGUCCGCUGAAUGGAAAACACUGUGGUGUGAAGCGUCCGACUCGGUAGCUGCGUCCUCUGGAGGGGAGCAGGAGCUCGCCUGUGGCAGCACCUACACCCAGCUGGUUGACAGGUUUGCCGGAAGAUUUCGGACGGGACCGACGCUCCUGUCGGCGACGAUCUUCUUCGGAUGGUCUCCCGC